UGGGGAAUUUUGGACAAUGGGCGAAAGCCUGAUCCAGCAAUGCCGCGUGUGUGAAGAAGGCCUUCGGGUUGUAAAGCACUUUUGUCCGGAAAGAAAUCCUUGGCUCUAAUACAGUCGGGGGAUGACGGUACCGGAAGAAUAAGCACCGGCUAACUACGUGCCAGCAGCCGCGGUAAUACGUAGGGUGCAAGCGUUAAUCGGAAUUACUGGGCGUAAAGCGUGCGCAGGCGGUUUGCUAAGACCGAUGUGAAAUCCCCGGGCUCAACCUGGGAACUGCAUUGGUGACUGGCAGGCUAGAGUAUGGCAGAGGGGGGUAGAAUUCCACGUGUAGCAGUGAAAUGCGUAGAGAUGUGGAGGAAUACCGAUGGCGAAGGCAGCCCCCUGGGCCAAUACUGACGCUCAUGCACGAAAAGCGUGGGGAGCAAACAGGAUUAGAUACCCUGGUAGUCCACGCCCUAAAACGAUGUCAACUAGUUGUUGGGGAUUCAUUUCCUUAGUAACGUAGCUAACGCGUGAAGUUGACCGCC
rnacentral:rRNA from 1 species